rnacentral:lncRNA from 1 species
AAAAGAAAGUAAAGAAGUACUUUUUAGAAAUAAGAAAUUGGCUUUCGCAGAUGCUUUCGCAGGUUUUCUAUAUAUAUUUAAUUGGCUUUCGCAGACCUUAGGUUUUAUAAUUAAAGAACGCUUGCGUCCAAAAAACACGGUCAAUAUUAGACUUUAUUUAAGAGUUUGAAAAAGAAAGUUGUGAAGUUGUUUCUUUUCUAUAUAUAUUUAUGCAGUGCAUUUCAGCGGUCCACACUUGUCAGAGACAGGGAAGCCGGGAGCCUUACAAAGAAAAAGAACUGUAGGAAGAAGAGCAGCCGUGGCCACUAUUGGAUUUGUCUUGGAUUAUUUCCGGGGAGGGGCAUCAAUCGUAACGGCGAUCCCACGUUCGUUUGGAACGGAUCCUUUUCAUUUGCUAGAACUCAAGUUCCAUCAUGGGGAAGGAUCAGCCAUCGCAUUAGGAAGACUUCUAAAAGUGGAUCACAAAGGCGUUUGGCAGUGCCUAAUAUGAGUUUGCUCCUGCCCCAGACCCCUCUGCAGUUGUGCAUUCUCGUUCGGCUCUUGGAAUCACAUCCAGCAGUGGUUGGGAGAUAACAUAUGAAAGUCGAAAGUCUCCUAUGGAAAAGCGUAAGCGUGACGGGGCGAACAGUCGUUCAGCCGAUGCUGAGCCACCACCCAAACUUAAGAGGUAUGUGGGAACAGCACCGGCUAUAUCGGAUUUAGGUGAGACUGAGGAAACGUGGCUUUAGCCUGUUUGAAUCUUAGUCAUUCGCCACACAAUUCCUUCAUUUGUACGUUUUUCAAGAUCGAGGAAAAGGAAAAGAAGUCUUCGAAUCACUGACUGAAACUCAUUGUCGAAUCUUACUCCAUAUUCACUCUCCAAGACAACGCAAUUGAGUGUGAGAGGGAGGAAGAAGUGGAUCUCCCGCGGACAAGGGAUACUAGAUCGUACUCAGAUUAAAAACGGCAGGAUGUGGGUCUCGCUCAUGAUAUCGAUGAAGUUCAUCUAUCGCUCAGCAAAAAAAACUCUCGCUGCCGCUCAAACAGAAGCUCCUCUCGCUCUCCAAUUCCUAGGUUCACUUUGCCAGAUCCGCAUCCUUGUGUCCACUCGUCGAGUGUCCCUUGAAUUGAUUGAUAAUUGUCCCCAUACGAUGAUGCUCUGUCUCUAUGGAAGGGGUCUCGGUUCUCUGUGAAGGUCUUUAAUGGCUCUUCGCUUUCCCGACCACUUCUUCGUUAUUCAUUCUUGUUCUUGAUUUCUCAUCUUCGCUCGUCGGGUUGGCCUACUCAUAGGCUGCUUUGAAACGCCCGGGCACUAAUAUUGUUUAUCCGUUCUAGAGAUGCCGCUGUAGGAGAGGCCUUCGAGAAAUGGCGACUUCGACCCUUCGGAGGAGAAGUUUGAAAAGCUUGCUGGAUCCUAAGAUAUGAAUAGAAUAGAAAUCCAAUCGGAAUAAAGCCGGGAACAAAGCAGCGGGGAGAUAGAUUGAAAUAAAGGAAUUUUUGGAUGGAUUGACUUUCAUAGGAAGGGAUUUCAUCCUCCUUGCCUCUUACGCGAGGGACUCCGGAUGAAUAAUGAAAUGGUGCGAAGUAAUUGAUCGAAAUAUACUAGGUGGAUUUUAGAAAGACUUUAUGGCUACUCUCCGAUGACUUACUCAUAGUAGCAUUAGAAUACUUCGGGAGCUAAUGAGACUAUCUUAGUCAAAUUCAAAUAGGCAAGGAAAGGAAGUGAACUGCUUCAAAACCUGAAUCAAAAGGCACUUCUCAAGGAGGCCGUUUUAAUAACGUGUUACAGUUGAGGCAAAAGGCCCUUUCCUAUUUCUUUUCAAUCUUAUCCCGUCGUCACCUUGUAAAAAGCUAAUGCUACACCCAAUUCUUAUUUCUUAGGACCAAACGGGUGAACCCCACCCAUUUUUCCUCUAAGAGCCCAUCAUUUCUCAAUCUUUCUGGGACCGAGUGAAGUUGACCCGGCCAAAGCACUGGUUUAUUCACAACCAUCUAUUCCUGCAUCCUUGCCUGUCCAUCCAUUUUUGAAGGUUGGCUGCCUUUGUGAAGGAGCGGAUUAGAUUUCCAUUCUUUCCUCUGACUCUCCUGAGAAAGAAGUGGUUCUUCCUUCCUAUCCCAUUCCUUUGCUAAUCGAGGGCUUAACUUCCGAUUUAGCUAUUUCACUUCCCUGCUCGCACAAAGCACUCACAAUGCACAAGUCAGCCUCCCCUUUCGAGAAGAACUCCUCCCUCAAAGCUUCGGAAUAGGUUUUGGCCUUUCCAGAAAAGUCUAUUCUUUUGAUUGAGUGUGCAGCAUCAGGGAUAGGGGCAGAAAUCCAUAGUAGCGUAUUCGACUGAAAUAAAGAUAUUGCGUAAGAGAGAGAGAGUCAGUCUCUUGAGAAGUCAGUCUUCUCCCGCACAACAAAUCCACAAAGAAGUUGCAGCGGUAGACUCAUAGUAGCGGUUGGGACAGACGGGUCAAGGGCGGCAGGAGCCAGAAUGCGGUUCCAUUCCGUUCUAUUGCCCACGCUUGUGCAGAAAUUACAGCAACUUUUGGGCCAUGAAGAGAGUUGAACGGAAUCCGUGCCCUGCCUCACGCUUCAGGGAUUUGUGACAACCCCAUCGAUUCCUAUGUGCUUUCGCAAUCUUCCCGAACUGUCAGUGAUUCAAACAAGCGGGUCCGCUAGUAAAGAAAGGUCAUUGGCUCGGUCAACCGAAUCGACGCUCCGCCCUGAAGAAUAGGUGACAAAUGCCACA